GAUCCUGGCUCAGGAUGAACGCUGGCGGCGUGCCUAACACAUGCAAGUCGAGCGAAGCGGUUUUUAAGGAAGUUUUCGGAUGGAAUUAAAAACUGACUGAGCGGCGGACGGGUGAGUAACGCGUGGGUAACCUGCCUCAUACAGGGGGAUAACAGUUAGAAAUGGCUGCUAAUACCGCAUAAGCACACAGCUUCGCAUGGAGCAGUGUGAAAAACUCCGGUGGUAUGAGAUGGACCCGCGUCG
rnacentral:rRNA from 1 species